ensembl:lncRNA LRRC77P leucine rich repeat containing 77, pseudogene
GUUGUUUAUGUAAGAAUUUCAAGGCCACAACUCCAUAUUUGAAGUAAAGUGCUCAUAAAAUUAAUUGCAAGGUUUUGAGAAGCCAUCUGCAGCUCACAACUAGAUGAGUGACACAAUCAGAUGUGCGUAUGCAAAAAAAAGCCUGGAGACAUUGAACUAAGAUCAAAUUUAAUGUAUUAAAUAUGGUAGAAAGAAGAGAGAAUGAAAAAUAAUGUUAACAAUCUAGGUGAGGAAUUGCUGAGGAGACAAAUUAAGUAAAUCCUGUGGAAGGAAAGAAGAAAGGAGGAAAGAGGAUUGGAUGGAAGAAUCUCCACUUCUCAUAGGUGUAGUCCUUCCUUAGCCUGCUUUUUAAUGAGUGCUGCUAAAGCCCUUAGCCUGCCUGUUUACCCUUGGAGUGGAGCAAUGAACUGAAGAUAUUUGAGUGAGUUCAAGAGAGACUCAGAAGAGAAGAAUUGGAGGCAGCAAACAUAGACAGCACUUUUAAUGCUUUUCUCAUAUGCUGUAAGACAUGAAAGCAAUCUAUUGGGAUGAAAGCUGAAAGGAGAAGCGGGACAAGAGAAGUGAAUCCGUGGAAGACCCCCAAAAGAGGCUGCAGAUUCUUAGUGGACAGCUCUCAUAUCCCCUCCAGGGAAAAUGAUGAAAAAUGUCUUCAGAAAAAUAGCUUUAUGAAGGCAAGAGGACUUUUUGCACCUGCAAGACAUGUCUGAAAGCUUCCAUCAGAUUCUUGUAAGUACCUCACUUGGCACAAGGUAGACAUGACGUUCAAGGAAGUCAACUGCGUUGCCCAAGAGUAAGAGAAGGAAUCUCUGAAGAAGAGCAACUUUUCAGACAGGUAGAGUGUGCCUUGCUCCCAAGGAAAAGAGUUCUUGAAAAAAACAAAUGGGAAACAUGGCUACAAGAAAACUGGGAAGACUGCAAGAAAAUCUCAGAAUCUGCUUGAGAAUCCGGUCCUUCUUCCUCCAUACACCCAUGGAACACUCCCAAACUCUGUAUGCUGCUCACUAAUUCUGAUUAAGGUCUUCACCCUCCCUACCUUGGAAAUUGCUACAACAUAAUUGUGUUUGUAUGUAUAAUUAAUAUAUACAAUACAUUUUAAAUGAAUAACU